GAAGAUUGCAAUAGUGGAAGUGAUUCUUUCCUUGCUCUGGUGUUAUCAUAUGAUAUAGGCCCAGGUUUAAUCAUUUGUUGCUCGAAAAUUUUAAACUAGAUAAAGCAAAAUCCUGAAAAGUAUAGCGUGGCAAUCUAACCCAAACACAUUAGCUUGGAAUGACACAAUAGUGAUCUAGGAUGUUAGAAACUUGGGAUUUUAUUAUAAGCUAUGGUCAUGAGGCUUGCUAUAACUGAUACUUGAGGGGCCUGUUUUGAGAAAACAAAGGUUAGUUGAAGAAGAGAUUAACAAGGUUAGAAAUUACCAUUCUGACCUGACUUUGAGCCUAGAGUUGUAUGACAGUUUAAACUUGAACUCUCCAAAAUGUCGAGGAAAGGGGAGAGAAGUCUCUCAGUCAGAAAAAAGUAGAAAGACGAGAAGCAAUUAGAGUGAAGAGUUCCAGAAGCAAGAAAAAGGAGGAGGGAAGGAGGGCAAGAGGGAGAUAUAAUAGGCGAAUGAGAUGGGAAAGAGGGAGAGAAAUUCUGAUGACAGAUACUAUUUUCUAAAUGUUUGGAGUCCUGGCUGAAAAGAAACAAUAAUCUUUUAUAUGGGAACGUGAGAAAGUCCUUUAGACCUGAUCUCUAUUUUGCAAAUAUUACCAUCCUAAUUAAAGAAGAGCUAACUCAUUUACGUUGUUAUGUGGGUCUUAUUUGCUGCUUAAACUUAUUCAGAUGCUUAACUUGAAGAAAGAUGUUCUUCUCAAGAUGAAGAUUAAACUAGAAGUUCUAAACAAGAUAAAGUACUAGGCU
rnacentral:misc_RNA from 1 species